GGGAAGUUGGCUCAGUGGUAGAGUGCUUGCCUUGCAUGCAUGAGGCCCUGGGUCCGAUUCCCCA
rnacentral:tRNA from 1 species